CUUCUUAUAGCAUAGAAUGAACAAAGAACCAAUUAAAUGAACAGGACAAAGCUCCUUGGGAACUGCUUCCACUCAGCAGAUUCUAUGGUUCUUUUCCACUAGGAGCAGAGGAGGUGGAGGUCUGUUUGAAGUAGCGCCAUGGCAGGGGAGGAAGUGACUCAGUGGCCACACAACAGUAAAACUCCCCUAGAGAGAGGAAUCAUGUUUGAACUUGGCUGCCUAAAGGAGAUCCCUGCGUGAUUCAGGCUCAGAAAGGCAAUGGAGAUUUUACUGGCUGGCUAAAACACUCCAUGGGGCUCCCCCAAAAGUACAGCUGGGGAAUGGGCAUAAGCAACUCUCUCUGAAACACAUGUGGGAACUGGGGCCUCAAGAUAAAGUGGACAUUCCUUGGCAUCAAGGAUGUUAAAAGCAUGGAUGAAAAGGAAUUAAAGGACUCAUUCAAAGAGGAGAGGACAGCUGGGUCAGAAGCAAAGUCCAAAAACAUGUGGCAGGUGAUGGAUGGGAAAACAGAAUAAAAAUCUAUCAAUGGCAGAGAUUCAAAACCAGAGGGCUCAAAACACCAGUUCUUUUUCAGCAGGAAGUGGUAUGGAGCAUCACUGCAGUCCCUUUGAAGACCUGUCUCUGCAGGGAGCUCAGCAGGGCCUUUCAUCAGGAACCCCAAGGUGUCUCUGACUGCCAUGGAGAGAUUUUCUUGGCUUGAGAGAUAAUAACCUAUGAGCAACGUCAACACAAAAGAAUGAGAAGUUACUUCUGUUUUGAUGCUUUUCCCCUAAAUGAGCUAAGCAAACAAGGAUAUGACAAAGAGCACGUCUCACCAGGGCCAACUUGGUAGCAGGCCACCUCGACGCUAUUGAUUUUGCAUUUCCAGCUGGUUGUCUCUGUGUCAUUUUAAAAGAAGGUGCUGUGCGUAGCCUUUACAAACUCCCUACUGCUUGCUGAGGUGGACAAAAAGAUGCAAACUCAUAGAAAUCCGCCAAAGAAUAUAAUAGUCUCUACAGAAGAUCUGGCUGAAUCAACCAACAAAAGGUUCCAGCUGUGGAAGCUGUGUGGAACAAAGGCAACUCUUGGCCUAAUGUGCAGUGCAUGCUUCUGGCGUUCCAGUUCAGGGAAGGAAUAAAGAAAGCUAUUCCAAAGCCCUUGACCA
rnacentral:lncRNA from 1 species